rnacentral:rRNA from 1 species
UGGGGAAUUUUGGACAAUGGGCGAAAGCCUGAUCCAGCAAUGCCGCGUGUGUGAAGAAGGCCUUCGGGUUGUAAAGCACUUUUGUCCGGAAAGAAAUCCUUGGCUCUAAUACAGUCGGGGGAUGACGGUACCGGAAGAAUAAGCACCGGCUAACUACGUGCCAGCAGCCGCGGUAAUACGUAGGGUGCAAGCGUUAAUCGGAAUUACUGGGCGUAAAGCGUGCGCAGGCGGUUUGCUAAGACCGAUGUGAAAUCCCCGGGCUCAACCUGGGAACUGCAUUGGUGACUGGCAGGCUAGAGUAUGGCAGAGGGGGGUAGAAUUCCACGUGUAGCAGUGAGAUGCGUAGAGAUGUGGAGGAAUACCGAUGGCGAAGGCAGCCCCCUGGGCCAAUACUGACGCUCAUGCACGAAAGCGUGGGGAGCAAACAGGAUUAGAUACCCUGGUAGUCCACGCCCUAAACGAUGUCAACUAGUUGUUGGGGAUUCAUUUCCUUAGUAACGUAGCUAACGCGUGAAGUUGACCGCCUGGGGAGUACGGUCGCAAGAUUAAAACUCAAAGGAAUUGACGGGGU